GCUUACGGCCACACCGCCUGGUUCACGCCCGACCUCGUUUUAUCUCAGAAGCUAAGAUAGGGUGGGCCUGGUUAGUACUUGGAUGGGAGACCGCCUGGGAAUACCAUGUGCUGUAAGAU
ensembl:rRNA 5S_rRNA 5S ribosomal RNA